CCUACGGGGGGCAGCAGUAGGGAAUCUUCCACAAUGGGCGAAAGCCUGAUGGAGCAACGCCGCGUGGGUGAAGAAGGUCUUCGGAUCGUAAAACCCUGUUGUUAGAGAAGAAAGUGCGUGAGAGUAACUGUUCACGUUUCGACGGUAUCUAACCAGAAAGCCACGGCUAACUACGUGCCAGCAGCCGCGGUAAUACGUAGGUGGCAAGCGUUAUCCGGAUUGAGUGGGGGUAAAGGGAACGCAGGCGGUCUUUUAAGUCUGAUGUGAAAGCCUUCGGCUUAACCGGAGUAGUGCAUUGGAAACUGGGAGACUUGAGUGCAGAAGAGGAGAGUGGAACUCCAUGUGUAGCGGUGAAAUGCGUAGAUAUAUGGAAGAACACCAGUGGCGAAGGCGGCUCUCUGGACUGUAACUGACGCUGAGGUUCGAAAGCGUGGGUAGCAAACAGGAUUAGAUACCCUUGUAGUC
rnacentral:rRNA from 1 species